UUCUAUUUUCUUCCUGCUGGAGAGGAAGUGCUGCAGUUUUUUCACUAGAAGAUGUGCCAUUCGACCAGUCGUUAAGAAAACGCAAUUUUCUCAUGGCCUAUUGAGAGGAGAAAAUAAGGCAAAACUCAACGUGCCAUGAAAAAUCCUUUACUUUUUGUUUUU